GCCUGCGCGGGCGCUGGCAGCGACAGGUUUGUUUUAUUUGCCAAUUUAUACUUCUGACUCAAACAGUCCCUGGUCUCCUGUAGGUCUUGAUUUUACUGGCGUUUGGCAUAAUAGCAGGCCCUCAAAAUGUACACAUUCUAUGUUAAGCCUUGGGUAUUCAAGGAUGAAUAACAGGAACUGCCUUAUCUGAGGACUAAUGCAUGCAGGCACCAUGCUGAACACUUUUAUUGCUUUUAUCUUCAUAACUAUCCUUUGAGGGGCUAGGGAUGUGGCUCAAGCAGUAGCGCGCUCGCCUGGCAUGAAUGCUGCCCAGGUUCCAUCCUCAGCACCAGAUACAAACAAAGAUGUUGUGUCCGCCGAAAACUGAAAAAUAAAUAUUAAAAAAUUC